AGCACCUCCUCAGGUCUAAGACCCUAGCGGAGCCUUUUGCUCCCCCAACCUCCUGUGGGAAGCUGGUCUUUUGAGGGGAAACCUCUGAGUCCCUGGAGGGGUUCCAGGAGGCCAAAGGCAGGCGCCCUGGCACCCAUGCCGUCCCCAGAUGCCCGGCUCUGCUCAGUUCCUGCGGGAGGGGACCGGCCGCUAGGCUGUGGCAGGUUUCUGACAUUUUUUUUUUUUUCUUGUUAGAAAUGGAAACCCUCCUUCCGGCAACGUGGCAGGAAAGCGAAGUCCCGGGGCGGGCGACCCAGGCCAAGGACAUUUCCGUGGUAGCAGGGUGUUUCUCUCUCAUCACAUGGAAUCUGUGUGCAAUUGAAGCAUCCUGGAAACGAAAGAAAAGGAGGCAGAAAAGCCUGGUUAGUGGUGGUGGCCACGAGGUAUGGUGGGAAGAGACACAUAUACACUCCUGGAAUGCCCAGAUUCUAGAGAUUCCAAAUUACAGGGGCGCAGCUCCAAGUUCAGGGUCACCACUCAGUCUUUUGAGAGCCUAGCUUGGUUGCCUCAGAGCCUGGCACUGUGAUAACAGCAUCUCAAGCCCAGUGAACGGCCACAGUUCAGCCUUUGGAAAGAGAGGCAAGAGCAGGCUCUAGAGUGAAGAGAAAGGUGCUCUCUUUUUAGAAUAGUGAAGGGCUCUCCUCAGGUGAAGCCAGAGGCGGGUGAGGAGUGUGUGUGUGUGUGUGUGUGUGUGUGUGUGUGUGUGUGUGUGUAGUGGGGGAGGUGAUGGUGACAUAAAAUAGGGAGUAUUUUGACUCAUGAGAAGUUGCAAAAAUAGGACAUUUCUCAUGUCCCAUUCACCCAGCUCCCAGCAAGGAUAACAUCUUACAUAACGUUGCACAUUGUCAAAACCCAAAGCUGAUGCUGGUAGAGGUCGGCCUGUAUUAACUCUUUGUCGUCUGUUUCACUCAAAACAAUCAAUAAUAGUAUUGGACAGCAGGGUUAGCGGAUAGCAAACGUGUAUUGAACAUCUAACUUCUGCUUAGUAAUUGUUCUGUCCACAGGACUGUUUCUGAAGCCAGCAACGGUCGUGCUCCCUUCCUACCCACACUGCUGUCUUCUCCUUCCCUCCUUCGCUGCAGGGUUGGCCAUCUGUACCACAGAACUCACCACGAGGCUUCACAACACUGUGUUUCUGGGUAUCCCAUUUCCCACUAUGAAGUCUCUUAGCCCCGAGCCCUGUCUGCAUCCCACACUCCCAUCACUGCCACCCCGGGUGCUCAUGGUUGACUGGCGUUGGGGCUCCAUGAUUUGUAGGCCACCCUGUGAGUGCUCAUGUGUCUAGUGUUGGGGUUCCAUCAUCUAUAGGCCAGAAUAGGGCUCAAAGCUGAACGCAGUUCUGCAAACCUAGCCUUCUGCACCUCUUAAUGAGCCCCUUUCCCUGCAGAAGAAUGAGUCCCCUUAUCACCCAGUCCGAAUCUAGCACUGUGGGGGCAGAUGCUGAACACUGGAAAUAGACUGACUUGAUUUAGAUUUGCCCAGAAUCAACAGCAGUAGACAAUCAGAAAUCUCGGGGCCUGCUGGGACAUGCCUGUAGUCUUAGCCCAUGGAUAUAUGGAGGCAGGAGAAUUUAGAGUUCAAGGCUAGCCUGGACUACAAGGUGGUAGGUCCUGCAUCUCAAUGAACCCACCCACCCACACACCCAACAACCAAAAACCCAUCUACUAGACCAUGUGUUUGAAAGAUUUUCAAAAUUUCAUAGAGCCAAAAAAAGAGUUCACAGAGCAGAUUUUAACUAAUGUAUACUCCCUCUUCCUUCCUCCCUCUCCCCCUCUUCCCUUUUUCUUUUCCUCUCUUCCUUCUUUUCCUUUCUCCCUUCUCUCUCUUUCUCCCCUUCUCUCCCUUCCUCUCUCCCUCUUUUCUGGGACAGGCUCCUACCAUGUGAUUCCAGCUGGCCUGGAACUCACUAUGUAGACCAGCAGUUCUCAACCUGUGGGUUGUGACCUCUGUGGGGGGUCCACCGACCCUUUCACAGGGGUCUCCUAAGACCACUGGAAGACAGAAACAUCUACAUUACGGUUCAUAACAGUUGUAAAAUUACAGGUAUGAAGCAGCAAUGAAAAGAAUUUCAUGGUUGGGGUCAUCGCAGUCUGAGGAGUCAUAUUAAAGGGUUGCAACAUUAGGAAGGUUGAGAAUCACAGAUGUAGACUGUACUCGGCUCAAACUCAGAGAGAUCCUCCUGCCUCUGACUCCCCUGCAUUGGUAUUAAAGCCGUGUGCUUCCAUACUGGGUAUAUUGUUUCUUGAUAAGGAAAGUCUACAACAGAACAUCAAGUACAGCUCACUGAAGAAGCUUUUGGGGUGCAUACUAUGUGGGAUGAAUUCAUUAGGGAUAGGGGUGACCCCAGCCAGCAGCCACUGUGUGGAAUCUGGGAGGGCAGGUCUCAAUUACUGGGUUUAUUUUGUAGCUGGUAAAUAUUCCUUGGGCAUUUAAUGGUUAAAUUUUUUUUUUUUUCCUUUUUGCUACUGAUUUAUUCUUGUAGUUUUCUGACUUGUCAAGAGCUGCUGGUCUGGGUAGAAUCACAUGUGCAUGCAUGGUGGCAGGUAUCAAAACUCAGGGAGGCCGGUUCCGAUCCCCUGGACCCACACGGCCUCUCAGCUCCUCUGGGCAGCAGCUCUUCCUAGCCUAGACCAUGCCUACCUCCCUCUCUUCCAGAAAAUCUCAGUGCACACUCCCAGUAAGGUAGACGCGAUAUUUGUCAAGUGAUUUUCUAGAAUUCCAGAGAGCACUCCAUCUAGCUGUGUUCCUUUGAAGCACUGAUUUUCUCCUGUCAGGAAAAAAACCAAACCAAACCAAACCAAACCAAACCAAACCAAACCAAACCAAACCAAACCAAAACACCCCCAAAGAAACCCAAACCCAAAGCCAAUAUCCAUAUAUUGUGAGGCAGCCUGAUUCAUACAUCACUGCCAUUACACACACACACACACACACACACACACACAUACACACACACACACACACACACACACACACACACACACACACACACACACACACGCUGAGACUGGCCCCUGGGUCUAAUUCCUGGGAUAUUUGCAUAGACUUUUCCCACUGGUCAGUCCUAAUCACCCUUGGUUUUUCCAUUGCUAAGUUUUGCAUGGCUUCUUAUUCCAAAGGGCAGCGUUUACAAGAUCAUUAGCUCAGCAUGUGAUUCCUGAUUUGACCGUAUAAUCUCUUGACAAAUACACGGAACAGCAAGGGAGAGCUAAGCUGUCUCCUGAAAGGCUCAGACUUUGUUUCUCUUCCAGCAGAUAGGAAGGGUCAAGAAGGGUCAGGACUCCAGUGUGCCCAGUUGAGCGGCUCCAUGCUGAGCACUGGCCUUAGGGUGUUUAUUUUAUGGGCUUAGAUCCUUUUUCUCUGAUGCUGAGUACUGCAAAGAACAUUUUCACUCUGGAGAGUGAGACAACCGUGGCCAGUGGAAGCAGCUAUCAGAAAUGCCGGCCUCAGUCUGAGCAGUCCGACACUGUGUUCUGUGUGUUGUGGGGCAGUCUCCGGUGGGCGGCGUGUUCUAUGGAGUGAAGGGUGGACACGAUCUGUUCUUUCUACAGCCUACAUCAAACACGUGGUUGGAUGAAGGAUUUUGGCUCUCUCCCAAACGUAAGCUUCUGCUAUUUGGACUCUGAGAUAUUGGAAUGCCAGGCCAGUCCAAUAGUAAUACAGCAGAUUUGUGACUUAGAAGUUUCUAGAAACCACAUAAAAAGUUAAAAAAUUGAAAUCAAUUCAUGGGUGUUUUAAUUAGCCAAAUAUGCUCCAAAUUUUAUAAUUUCUAUAUAUAAUCAGUAAAAUUAUAAGUUUCAUUUUUUAUAUUGCGACCUUGAAAUAGGACGUGUUUUUAAUGUUGACACGCACACCUUUAAAUUAGACAUUUCAGGUGCACAGUAGUCACCUGUGGCUUGUGCUUGCCAUCCCGGGCAGUGCAGGGCUAAGUCACUUUGGCAACUUUUAGAGACUGAGGCAGGAAAGAGGUCACAGGGUGGGCUGCUUGAAAUUUGGAUUGUCUGAAAAUUUUAUGGCAGAUUAGGGAAUAGGAAAGGUGUGGCUGACUUAUCCAAGUCACUUCUCAGUGAGUCUUACACGUGACAGAUUAGAACUCAGUGUCGACAGAAUUCGAGUUUGCAGGCAUCUGACUUGUUGACACCUUCCCUAGUGGGUAAGAGGCUUGUCACUGUGGGAUGUGGGCGGGUGAACAUUAGUAAUCUAUAAGGUGGAAAAUGGUAUAUGGGCUGGUGGCCCUCUGGCAUCCAAAAUAGAUUUCACAGAGCCCAGGGAUUAGCUGCUCACCACUCUGCUAAGGCCCACUAAAAGCGGAGCCUGUGAGGAGCUCCGAGUUACACGGGCUCCAGGAAUGAUUUUGUAGUCCCUAACUUCCUGUCACUGAUAUCUGGCCAUCCUGACCUUUCAGCUAACCCGAAAAUAGAGAGCAGGGAGGAAGAAGCCAGAGAACUGAGAGGAAGCAACGUGCUGGAUGGCUGUUCAAGACCUCUUCCCAGGAGGUGUCCGCAGUUAGAAGAACCAUUAAGCUGCAGAGCGAAUCUUCAACGAUUCCGGCUGGUCUAUGGGUGUAUGGUGGCACGGAGUCCUGGUAGCUCCCUGGACAGGCCAGAAGAGUCUGUCUUACUCAACCCUCUAUCUACCCUGUUCUGUUCCCCCCGGGGCACCGCAUCGGUUGUACAACUGUCAUCUUUAUAGCUGCAGGGUAAUAACCAUUUGUUCACUAGGCACCGCACGCCCUUCAUGGCGGCCAAGACUUUACAGGUAUCUCUUUGCCAGGGGUGGUGUGUGUGUGUGUGUGUGUGUGUGUGUGUGUGUGUGUGUGUGUGUGUGUGUAUCUAUGUUUAAGCAUCAUAAGGAGGUAGAACUGGGUUGGUUUACAUAACUACUUCGCUCACAAAGUUUGGGAAGUCAAAUAGGAAGCAAGACCUUUUGCAAAUGUCAGCCCUACACUCUGUCAGGGUUGAGGAUUGGGUACUUAUUUUCUCAAGAUUUCUACCUUCCACCUUUUAAAGAGCGAGCACACAAAGCCUGCAAACAUUCUGUGAAGGGAAGGCUAAGGGCACACUAACGGGCUCGGAAGUCCCACUUCCUCACUCAUCUGCAGUGUGACAAUAAACACGUGCAAACUGAAGGUACGCGAAUGGAUUCCCUUGGAAUAUUGUAGCCAGACCAGGCCGGGUGGGGAAGCAUGGUGGCCAGCCCAGGGUGAUGGUUUCUGUUUGAAUGCUCUUCCUUCCUCCCUUCCUCCUUCCUCCUGAAAGAAGGUAGUAAACUCCUGCAUUUAGGGCCUGGGCAUCCAUUUGAGGGACGGUUGUCAACAGGGCGCUGAGUGGAGACAGUGCUGGGAACUCUGUUCUUCCCAGCCAGAGCUGUGUGCAGAAAGGGAAGAUGAGUUGAAGGUUCUAAUAGUAGCCAUGGCUUGACCCUGCCAACCAGAAGCUCCUGGGUAGCUUUGCCUGUCCGUCCAUCUGUCCUGCUGCCAGCUUCUUCUCUUUUCUUGGGUCUUUCUCCUUCAUUACCUAAUGUCUGUGCCCCAGCCCCACUUCCUGUGUCCACUCUGCUCCUGUGCUGCCUCUCUUCUCUGAGGCCUUGCUCAGGACCAUCAGCACCAGAGUGCUCCCAGGAACUUCAUAAAAAAGGAGAGUCCCAGACCUUGCUGAGAGUCAAAUUACAAAUCAAAAUCUGGUGCAGUGUGGAACUUUCAUUUUUAAAAAAGGGGGGUGGGGCUGGAAAGAUGGCUCAGCGGUUAAGAGCAGUGACUGGUCUUCCAGAGGUCCUGAGUUCAAUUCCCAGCAACCACAUGGUGGCUCACAGCCAUCUGUAAUGGGAUCUGAUGCCCUCUUCUGGUGAAGACAGCAACAGUGUACUCACAUAUGUAAACUAAAUAAAUCUUUCAAUAAUUUAAAAAAAA